rnacentral:rRNA from 1 species
UACAUGGGGUGCAAACGUUGCUCGGAAUUAUUGGGCGUAAAGCGCACGUAGGCGGUUCGUUAAGUCGGAUGUGAAAGCCCUCGGCUCAACUGAGGAAGUGCACCCGAAACUGGCGAGCUUGAGUACGAAAGAGGAUCGCGGAAUUCCCGGUGUAGAGGUGAAAUGCGUAGAUAUCAGGAGGAACACCGGUGGUGUAGACGGCUCUCUGGACCGUAACUGACGCUGAGACACGAAAGCGUGGGUAGCAAACAGG